UGUCACGUGAACAAGGUUAUAGAAAAGAUUGAAAAGACUACAAACUAUUGUGUGAGGAAUCACUCCUCUUGUAACUAUGCAGACGUGCAAGGGGUAGAGUUAAGGGCUAUGUGUACAGUCCUGACUUCAUAGUAUUUCUCAUUGUGAGUGUUUAACAGUGCAACUCUGUUACUCUUCUAAUGAAGUAUUUUUCUAAUGGAGUUUGAGGGGAUUUUGUUCAAAAUGGAAACCAGAAAGAUUCUGGAAUACUAAAGAUAGAUGGUGUGGAGGGACAAGUGCUCCAAAUAAGGCCCCUCCUGAUCUGACUUAAGCUCUGUCAGACCUGCUUAUCCUGCACAACCCAGUCCCUUGCCCCCACCUGCAUGCGUGCUGCCAGCCUGCAGAUUCAAUGCUCUCCUGGCCACCAUGUGAGUCGAGCCUUGCACACUUUGCAGUCCUGCACCUUUCCUGCUGUGGGCCCAUGUUAUUAUGGCCCGUGUGUGUGAAGCUGUCACAGCAGGGAGCGCUCCACCUGUAGUCUGACCACAGGGGAUGCUUGAUUAUUAAGCUCAGCAGCAGGGUUCAAACACAUCAUAAUGGGUGAAGCUCCUUUGGCACCAAGACCAGGAGUUUUGCUGCUUGAGCUGCUCCUGGAGAGCCUAGGGCUAGCAACAAUUCCCAGCACAUGCCUCAGGUACAGCUCUGCAUUGUCCGGAGAUGGUUCUGCCUCCAACGUGGGGGAGCAGAAGGGAAGUGGACCUGCUUCAGUGUACUUUUUGCCACCUGUCAGCACUCUGCUUGAGGUCUGGCCAGCUGGUCCCCACACCUGCAAGCUCGUUAUGCAUCAAUGAGGGCAUAUUGUGGCAGUGGAGUCAUGCACAUGUGGCAAUAAGCCAGCAUUGUGCAUCACCUGAUGAUUGCUGACAGGUGGGUCUGUAUCACCAGCUCACAUGGCAGGUUGCUGUGGUUACUGCAGAACCACUGAGGCUCUGCUGAGGAGGGACUGGCAAAAAGGCAGAGGAGCAGUGCCUGUAGGAACUUGCUGGAUGACUCUCUCCAGGAAAGAUAGCUUGAUGUAUCGUCCUGGCCUCCUGCCACUUCUCCUUGGUAAGGGUCUAUUUUAUUAACAUUGUCAAGACUAUAGGUCUAGAAGGAUGAGAAUGGAGGAAGUCUGUGGAUUCAGUGACUGGAGCAAAUCACUUACUAGGCAGCAAUUUCGGUUUCAGGCCUUGGCUCAAUUCCAAACUGUGAUGGGGCUUAGUCUAUUAGUCACAAUCAAAUAAACUGGGAGCUGGUCCAUAGUGAACUUCCUUACACUAGGUUGGCCACCAAAGGUCUGACAUCAGGCAGGGGUGACCAGAGCAGGAUGUGCCCAUGGUGCAUUUCUGCAGACUUGGUCAAAUCAAUGUGUCCUUGAAAGAGAAAGAAAAGAAUUUUUCCUGACUGAGGCAUUAGUUACAUCAACUACAAAUAGCAGCAGAUGUCCCUGACUUAGUCAGCUUAUUAAAGACAGCCUGAAUUUCAUGCGCUCGUGAAUGGCAAAUUAAAGCCAAACUAUAUAGAGGAAGGUUUUGCAUUUUGGGGUGGAUCACUGCUGUGCCUAAUUUCAAGUUUUUGACCCUUGAACAAUUCAGCUGAAAGAAUAUCAAAACAUUCUAAAUACAUUUUCAAGAUAUGAAAGUUUCUGGUGGGAAAGUUUUUGAAAAGUUAUGAGCAAUAGGAAAAUAACUGUGCAGUAGCAAUUAUUCUGCAGUUUUAUUGUAAUGACUAGUGCUCAGCAGUGGCAUAACUGUACUCUAAUCCCCACCAUACUCCUGUUUUCUUUCUGUAUUGCUGGACUUCACACAUUAAAGUGAUAUCCUAGAUGGAAAAGAAUCAGGAACUGGAUGCCCAUUCCUAGUACUGAACUACACUAUUACCCUAUGCAUACAAUAUCUUGUAUUUCACUGAUGUACUUGCUUAUUGUACAGCAAUAUUUUCCAGGUGAGCUUUUUUUUUUAUAUGGUUUUGUUAGAUUCUUUUCUUGCAGUGCUGGUGAUGGUCCACCACGUACGGUUCUUUUGCUUGGCCUUCUGAUGAGCUCCAUAAACAGACAUCUCGUGCAGUAGGAACUGUCCUGUUAUUUCAUAAGCAUCUCGUGUGCUUGAGGUCAGUGGGAUUAGCACAGGGUUAGUAUGCAUGCACAAAUAGUUUAUAAAGCUCCUUUAACUAUGAAGCCCCAAAAAGGAUAUUACAUUUUUAUUACAAAACUGUUUUUCAUUUCUCUACAAAGAAAAUACAAAGUUCCAGGCAUUCUCACGGUUUGCUGUCAUACUUCAGAUCUGAAGAAGGAAAAGGAAGUGAAUUUCCAUCGCUUUUCUUCUUCAGACCACAGUGCUUUUUUCUCACUUUGUUUCCCAGCUCCAUCACUACAUGCACAUCCCAGCCCAGCAGAGCUUCCUGCUAACGACGAGCUACGGCCGGAAGGAACUGCAGCAUCGUUAUUCAUACCUUUAGGAUCCCACUAAGCUCGAUUCGUUCCUGCUUCUCUACCAGGAGUGCUGGGGCAGCCUUGUAGGGAGCUCACUUGUUUCCUACGAUUUAGCACUUGUCUGUAAGUUACGUUCUUGUUCCCCUCUGGUAACUGGCUUUUCUACGCGGCCUCCUAAAUAGAGUCACGCAGGUUCCCCAGCCCCAAACCUCGCCUGCUCUCCAGCUGCGUUCGUGCCACGUCCUCCGCCUUCCCAUUGCUGAAACCAGCUGCCACAGAGCAGCCCGGCCCUCCUGCCGCCGCGCGCUCCCCCGGCUGCGGUCAGACGCGCGUCCGGCCUCAGCCGCCCUCCCAGCCCCGGGACGGCCGCGAGCCCGGCCACGCGGCGCUUCGCUGCAGGCCGCGGGAGGAGCCGCCCCGAGGGCCGCGGUUGCGUUGCUCUCCGCCACGGCAGCAACGCGCCGUGUAGAAGGACGCUCAGCAUUGAGCAAAGCUCCCAAAGGCCCCGCGCCCACCGAGCCGGGAGCUGCGGCCCAUGGGAGCGGGACGCCGGGCGCACACGGCCCGUCGCCAUGCCAACCGGCGCUCCGUCCGCGUCCCCCGAGCUUCGCCGGCAGCCCUCCGCUCCGACGCCCAAUCGCCGACCGCGAGAGAUGGCGGCCGAGCUUCUGUUGGGCGACGCUCACGUCAGUCAACACGUCCGGAACCGUGAACAGCAGUAGUGUGAUGCAGCGACUGCAAGGGAGGACUGUGAGCACAGCGACACGUGACGUUUUGAUAUCAGAAGCAUCUAAAAUUGACAAAGCUUUGGUAACAGAAAAGUUGCAAGCAUAAUUCCUCAUUAAUAACUCCAUUUGUGUUAUUGUUCUGCCUAAAACUUGUUCCUGCUUUCCAAAGAAGGCAAAACAGGAAAAAUAUUAAAUUGAUGUGAAAAAUUUAAGUCUAAUACGUAUUUCAAACUGUCUGAUCUGUGCAUGGGAGGAAGAAAAGAUUAAAGCUGCAAUACAACAGCCUGCCUUUAGAAAGUGAGCUGGGAGGAGGAAGUCAGUACCAAGGAAUGUUCUCACCAAAGAGACACCCCCCCUGCAAAUGGAGAUGGACCACCAAAAUGGAAAAAUCAAAGCAAAGCCAGCAUCUUUGCAUUGUAUUCAGGUGUUCAGCAAUGUGAACGAUCGUGGAGAGUUUAACAUUUGAGGAGUGGAAGAUGGUCUCAUUUCAGAAGCUCGGCGCUGUGCAGCAGGUACAGACUGUCGCCUUUUGCUUGGCAGAGGUCCUUGCAACACAAACCCAGGUAUCUAGGAAGAAGGAACAGCAGGUCUGCUCCUCAUCUCCAAGGGUUUGCUCUGACUUCAGAGACAUUCGGAGUACCCUGUUAUACCUUCUAGGAGUACCUGCAUUUAAAAUCUCACCCUUUUUCUGUUGGUGUUUACAGAGUUGUAAGAGAAUGAAGGUUAAUGGAUUACUGGCAAUGGCAAAAGCAAACUUUUUAUAGUAACUUUUAUUUUUAAAUUAAUAAGGUCAGCAUGUGGAUGGAAGCAUUCUGGGUGCUUUUCCUUUAAGUGCUCAGAUAAAAUCGCUAAUCUCUGUCCUGGGGCUGCAUACUUUCCUUGGUUCAUGCACAGUGCUUCAGUGAAUUGAGCAAGUGCUCAGUGUUUGGCAGAGUUCAGCUCUUCCUUGUGCAGUGUAACUGGGAGCAGUUUGGGCUACUUCCAGUCCUUCUGAUCAUGUGCAGGUCACAGCACAGGCCAUGAUAUGCCUGAACCAACAAACUGGUCAGCUCAACCCAGUGCCUUAUUGUCACCUUGUGGCUCCUUGGUGUUGCAUGCAUAGUGCAGAAAUGUGUAGAUUUGAGUUUCCUCUGCCUGACUGUAGCUGACCUAAGGAAAGAAAAAAGGAGUGAGCAAAAUCAUGUUCUCUGUUAUUUCUGUGCAUCUUUACUGAUUUUAAUUAUAUGGUCUGAAUGAAAAUGAGAAUGGAACAAUUUGCCUUGGGCCUGUACAUGUAUCCAUUAUGUCUUAGUCACAUGCUGAAAACAUCCGUAAACCUACUCAUCGGUUUAUAUAUUGCUGGUCUGACUUUUUAGAAAUACAGCAGAAAAUACAGAGAAUCCUGGCUCUUAUUAGAAGAGCAGUGCAACUUGCAAAUAUUUGAUUGGUUCUCUUCUUGUCUAACUCUUCUGUGUAAAACUCAUUUACUGUUUUUCCUUUUAAACUGCUAGCUGACCUUACAUAUGAAUCCCAGCUGUGCAUUAGCAUUGCUUGGGGAUGUGUUUGUAUCUUUUGUCUAAAAAUACCCAGCCGGUAGGAUUCAUGAUCCAUGAAAGCUAAUUGAAACAAUUUCUCUUCAAGUUUUGGCAAGCGAAGCAUGCAUUAUAAGCAUUAAUAUCUAUAAAUUGAAUUGUUAAUGAAUCUAGACACUAAUAAUGAAUGCAAUUUUGCAGGCUUAACUAGAAACACUAAAAUUAUCAGGAUCUGG